rnacentral:rRNA from 1 species
UACCUGGUUGAUCCUGCCAGUAGCAUAUGCUUGUCUCAAAGAUUAAGCCAUGCAUGUCUAAGUACAAGCCGCUAGACGGCGAAACCGCGAAUGGCUCAAUAAAUCAGUUAUGGUUCCUUAGAUCCACUCCAUCCUACUUGGAUAACUGUGGUAAUUCUAGAGCUAAUACAUGCACUCGAGCCUCGACUGCGGGCUUUCGGGCUCGCAGAAGAGGUGCUUUUAUUAGAUCAAAACCAGUCGGGGCCGGGCUUUCGGGCUCGCGCACCGUACCAAUUUUGGUGACUCUGGAUAACUUCACGCCGAUCGCACGGCCUUCGCGCCGGCGACGUAUCUUUCAAAUGUCUGCCUUAUCAACUGUCGAUGGUAGGUUACGCGCCUACCAUGGUUGCAACGGGUAACGGGGAAUCGGGGUUCGAUUCCGGAGAGGGAGCCUGAGAAACGGCUACCACAUCCAAGGAAGGCAGCAGGCGCGCAAAUUACCCACUCCCGGCACGGGGAGGUAGUGACGAAAAAUAACGAUACGGGACUCUUCCGAGGCCCCGUGAUUGGAAUGAGUACACUUUAAAUCCUUUAACGAGGAACCAUUGGAGGGCAAGUCUGGUGCCAGCAGCCGCGGUAACUCCAGCUCCAAUAGCGUAUAUUAAAGUUGUUGCGGUUAAAAAGCUCGUAGUCGGAUGUCUGUCUUCGGCCGGGCGGCGCCGCUCUGAAUCAAGGGUGUUGCGUUUCACGCUCUGGGAGCCCGGGUGUCAAAGCCCGACUCUCUUCACGGUCGGACAACAUCGCCGGAGUGGUGGUCGGUGCGUCGUUGUUGUAUCUGCGGCCAGAGUUGGAAAGUUCUUUCGGGUUCUUUUUUAAAUUUUGGUCGUAGUUGACUCGAUUCGCUCCACCCAGUCAAUCGUUCGGGGUGCCCUUCACCGGGUGUCUCGGGCGGCCGGCAACGUUUACUUUGAACAAAUUAGAGUGCUCAAAGCAGGUGUAUCCCAACGCCUGAAUAUCGCAGCAUGGAAUGAUGGAAUAGGACCUCGGUCCGAUUUUGCUGGUCUUUUACUUUUGGACCCGAGGUAAUGGUCAAUAGAGACGGACGGGGGCAUUCGUACUGCGGCGACAGAGGUGAAAUUCUUGGACCGCCGCAAGACGAACAACAGCGAAGGCAUUUGCCAAGAAUGUUUUCCUUGAUCAAGAACGAAAGUUAGAGGUUCGAAGGCGAUCAGAUACCGCCCUAGUUCUAACCAUAAACGAUGCCAACCAGCAAUCCGUCGGAGUUACUCCAAUGACUCGACGGGCAGCUUCCGGGAAACCAAAGUCUUUGGGUUCCGGGGGAAGUAUGGUUGCAAAGCUGAAACUUAAAGGAAUUGACGGAAGGGCACCACCAGGAGUGGAGCCUGCGGCUUAAUUUGACUCAACACGGGAAACCUCACCAGGCCCGGACACUGGAAGGAUUGACAGAUUGAGAGCUCUUUCUUGAUUCGGUGGGUGGUGGUGCAUGGCCGUUCUUAGUUGGUGGAGCGAUUUGUCUGGUUAAUUCCGAUAACGAACGAGACUCUAGCCUGCUAAAUAGGUGACGGGUUUUAUCAAUUGAAACCGAAGGGAGUACGGAGGCGUCGGGAUCAGGUGGCGGCGAUUCGGGUCUCGGUGGGACUGGUUCCUUUAGUGAGGCAAUCUCUCGGCUUGGUUUCGUUGUGCUCUGUUCGUCGGGUGUACGGCCUUCACGGGUUGGUUGCCUGGCGGAUGAGGUAUGGCGGGGCUUUGUCGGGAAUGUCUCGCGGGGGCUGGCUCUAUUGUUAUUCGGUCGUCGUCAUCCCCGGCGAUACCUUCUGCUCUCGCGUCCGUCACGCAGUCUUCUUAGAGGGACAAGCGGCGUCCAGCCGCGUGACAGUGAGCAAUAACAGGUCUGUGAUGCCCUUAGAUGUCCUGGGCCGCACGCGCGCUACACUGAAGGAAUCAGCGUGUUUCACUCUCCCUGUCCGAAAGGACCGGGUAACCGCUGAACCUCCUUCGUGGUUGGGAUUGGGGACUGCAAUGAUCCCCAUGAACCAGGAAUCCCUAGUAGGCGCGGGUCACUAGCCCGCGUCGAUUACGUCCCUGCCCUUUGUACACACCGCCCGUCGCUACUACCGAUUGAAUGAUUUAGUGAGGCCUUCGGACGGGCUUGUCGGGGUGCCGUCGAGUGGGAGCAAUCUCUGCCCGUGCGGUGCCUACCAACGGCGAGACUGAAAGAUGGUCGAACUUGAUCCUUUAGAGGAAGUAAAAGUCGUAACAAGGUUUCCGUAGGUGAACCUGCGGAAGGAUCAUAA